AAAGAAUUAGUUUAAAAAAAACAUUAAAUUGUCAAUUUAAUAACAUUUUAUUUUAUUGAAAUAUUCUUUU
rnacentral:tRNA from 1 species